rnacentral:rRNA from 1 species
AGUGAACGCUGGCGGUAGGCCUAACACAUGCAAGUCGAACGGCAGCACAGUAAGAGCUUGCUCUUACGGGUGGCGAGUGGCGGACGGGUGAGGAAUACAUCGGAAUCUACUUUUUCAUGGGGGAUAACGUAGGGAAACUUACGCUAAUACCGCAUACGACCUACGGGUGAAAGCAGGGGAUCUUCGGACCUUUCGCGAUUGAAUGAGCCGAUGUCGGAUUAGCUAGUUGGCGGGGUAAAGGCCCACCAAGGCGACGAUCCGUAGCUGGUCUGAGAGGAUGAUCAGCCACACUGGAACUGAGACACGGUCCAGACUCCUACGGGAGGCAGCAGUGGGGAAUAUUGGACAAUGGGCGCAAGCCUGAUCCAGCCAUACCGCGUGGGUGAAGAAGGCCUUCGGGUUGUAAAGCCCUUUUGUUGGGAAAGAAAAGCAGCAGGUUAAUACCCCGCUGUUCUGACGGUACCCAAAGAAUAAGCACCGGCUAACUUCGUG